rnacentral:rRNA from 1 species
UUAAGCAUAUCAAUAAGCGGAGGAAAAGAAACCAACAGGGAUUGCCUCAGUAACGGCGAGUGAAGCGGCAAAAGCUCAAAUUUGAAACCGGAAACGGGUUGUAAUUUGAAGAUUGUGUUUUGGGGACGACCGUGUCUAUGUUCCUUGGAACAGGACGUCACAGAGGGUGAGAAUCCCGUGCGAUGCGGCCUCCGUCCCUAUAUAAAACACUCUCAAAGAGUCGAGUUGUUUGGGAAUGCAGCUCAAAGUGGGUGGUAAAUUCCAUCUAAAGCUAAAUACUGGCGAGAGACCGAUAGCGAACAAGUACAGUGAUGGAAAGAUGAAAAGCACUUUGAAAAGAGAGUGAAACAGUACGUGAAAUUGUUGAAAGGGAAGGGCAUGCCGUCAGAUUGCCAGUAUCGGUUGAUUGGGGUGGAUAAAAGUGUUGGAACGUGGCCUUCGGGUGUUAUAGCCUUCACCAAUACACCCUAACCGACCGAGGACUGCUUUUAGGAUACUGGCGUAAUGACGGUACGCCGCCCGUCUUGA